CCUACGGGGGGCAGCAGUGAGGAAUAUUGGUCAAUGGACGAGAGUCUGAACCAGCCAAGUAGCGUGAAGGAUGACUGCCCUAUGGGUUGUAAACUUCUUUUAUAUGGGAAUAAAAUGUUCCACGUGUGGGAUUUUGUAUGUACCAUAUGCAUAAGGAUCGGCUAACUCCGUGCCAGCAGCCGCGGUAAUACGGAGGAUCCGAGCGUUAUCCGGAUUUAUUGGGUUUAAAGGGAGCGUAGGUGGAUUGUUAAGUCAGUUGUGAAAGUUUGCGGCUCAACCGUAAAAUUGCAGUUGAAACUGGCAGUCGUGAGUACAGUAGAGGUGGGCGGAAUUCGUGGUGUAGCGGUGAAAUGCUUAGAUAUCACGAAGAACUCCGAUUGCGAAGGCAGCUCACUGGACUGCAACUGACACUGAGGCUCGAAAGUGUGGGUAUCAAACAGGAUUAGAUACCACUGUAGUC
rnacentral:rRNA from 1 species